UAUUGCGAAGGCGAUNUGCUGGAACUUAACUGACGCUAAUGCGUGAAAGCGUGGGGAGCAAACAGGAUUAGAUACCCUGGUAGUNCACGCCCUAAACGAUGUAUACCGGUUGUUGCUGUGCUAGUCACGNCAGUAAUCCACCUAACGGAUUAAGUAUACCGCCUGGGGAGUACGGUCGCAAGAUUAAAACUCAAAGGAAUAGACGGGGACCCGCACAAGCGGUGGAGCAUGUGGUUUAAUUCGAAGAUACGCGAAGAACCUUACCCGGACUUGAUAUCUAACAAAUCAUCCAGAGAUGGAAGAGUGUCUGCUUGCAGAAAUGUUAAGACAGGUGCUGCGCGGCUGUCGUCAGCUCGUGUCGUGAGAUGUGGGGUUAAGUCCCGCAACGAGCGCAACCCACGUCAUUAGUUGCUAACGGUUCGGCCGAGCACUCUAAUGAGACUGCCUUCGUAAGGAGGAGGAAGGUGUGGACGACGUCAAGUCAUCAUGGCCCUUAUGUCCGGGGCGACACACGUGCUACAAUGGCAUAUACAAUAAGACGCAAUAUCGUAAGAUGGAGCAAAUCUAAAAAAUAUGUCCCAGUUCGGAUUGGAGUCUGCAACUCGACUCCAUGAAGCCGGAAUCGCUAGUAAUCGUAGAUCAGCCAUGCUACGGUGAAUACGUUCCCGGGUCUUGUACUCACCGCCCGUCACACCAUGGGAGUUGAUUUCACUCGAAG
rnacentral:rRNA from 1 species